CUCUCCGAGCCUCAGACUCCCGUUCUCCAAAAGUAAGCCUGAUAUUAUCUUUGCCACACAGUUGUGCAGAUUAAAUGAGAUAACAUAUGCAAGGUGCAUAACACAGCCUCGAUACAUGGGAGCCAAAUGUUAGUUUCCUUCCUUUUCAAAUUACCUUUUUAGAAUUUCUGAAUGCGUUCACACCGAAAAGUACUGUUGAGAAGAGUGUCUUCAAUUAUACUUUGAAGAGAAUAUGAAACAUAUGGGAGGAAGAUAUUGAUCCCAAGCUGCCAGAAUUAUUUUUGUGGAAGGAAAAUUCGAAUCACUCCAGACCCAUACUGCGUUCUUUGCUGCAGGUGUGCCUGCAAAGUCUUUGACGCUAUUAAGUUGAAUAUAUUCAUUAUGACAUAAAUAGAAUUCGGGGAGCUACUUCAUUCAGGUUGGAGCUUUGAGUGGCACCAUCUUCUGUAGAAUCACUCCAUUGGGGUAUGUUUGCAUUGAAAUAGUAAAUUCCUUAGAUAUGAAGAGAUCAAGAGCCUUAUAAACUUCAUACCAUGCAGCUCCAUCUGCAGAGAGUUGGUUCCACACCACAAAGAGUGUUAAACAUAUAUCAACAUGGUACAACAGGAAAAGUAAAUCAACAAUAA
rnacentral:lncRNA from 12 species